UACAGAGGGGGCAAGCGUUAUUCGGAAUUAUUGGGCGUAAAGGGCGCGUAGGCGGCUUUUCAAGUGGCGGGUGAAAUCCCUCGGCUUAACCGAGGAACUGCCUGCCAGACUGGAUGGCUUGAGACCGGGAGAGGUGAGUGGAAUUCCCGGUGUAGCGGUGAAAUGCGUAGAGAUCGGGAGGAACACCAGAGGCGAAGGCGGCUCGCUGGACAGUCACUGACACUCAACUGCGAAAGCGUGGGGAGCAAACAGG
rnacentral:rRNA from 1 species